rnacentral:rRNA from 1 species
CCUACGGGAGGCAGCAGUGAGGAAUAUUGGUCAAUGGACGAGAGUCUGAACCAGCCAAGUAGCGUGAAGGAUGACUGCCCUAUGGGUUGUAAACUUCUUUUAUAUGGGAAUAAAAUGUUCCACGUGUGGGAUUUUGUAUGUACCAUAUGAAUAAGGAUCGGCUAACUCCGUGCCAGCAGCCGCGGUAAUACGGAGGAUCCGAGCGUUAUCCGGAUUUAUUGGGUUUAAAGGGAGAGUAGGUGGAUUGUUAAGUCAGUUGUGAAAGUUUGCGGCUCAACCGUAAAAUUGCAGUUGAAACGGGCAGUCUUGAGUACAGUAGAGGUGGGCGGAAUUCGUGGUGUAGCGGUGAAAUGCUUAGAUAUCACGAAGAACUCCGAUUGCGAAGGCAGUUCACUGGACUGCAACUGACACUGAGGCUCGAAAGUGUGGGUAUCAAACAGGAUUAGAUACCCCUGUAGUC